GCAUAUCAAUAAGCGGAGGAAAAGAAACCAACAGGGAUUGCCUCAGUAACGGCGAGUGAAGCGGCAAGAGCUCAAAUUUGAAAUCCGGCCCCCCUGGGGGCCUGAGUUGUAAUUUGCAGAGGAUGCUUCGGGCGCGACCGCGGUCCAAGUCCCCUGGAACGGGGCGUCGUAGAGGGUGAGAAUCCCGUCUCCGGCCGGCCGGUCUCGCCCGUGUGAAGCUCCUUCGACGAGUCGAGUUGUUUGGGAAUGCAGCUCCAAAUGGGUGGUAAAUUUCAUCUAAAGCUAAAUACUGGUCGGAGACCGAUAGCGCACAAGUAGAGUGAUCGAAAGAUGAAAAGCACUUUGAAAAGAGAGUUAAACAGCAUGUGAAAUUGUUGAAAGGGAAGCGCUUGCGACCAGAGUCGGCCGUGGGGGUUCAGCGGGCAUUCGUUGCCCGUGCAAUCCCCCGCGGCCGGGCCAGCGUCGGUUUCGACGGCCGGUCAAAGGCCCCCGGAAUGUGUCGCCUCUCGGGGCGUCUUAUAGCCGGGGGUGCAAUGCGGCCAGUCGGGACCGAGGAACGCGCUCCGGCACGGACGCUGGCUUAAUGGUCGUCAGCGACCCGUCUUGAAACACGGACCAAGGAGUCUAACAUCCACGCGAGUGUUCGGGUGUCAAACCCGUCCGCGCAGUGAAAGCGAACGGAGGUGGGAACCCCUGAGGGUGCACCAUCGACCGAUCCUGAAGUCUUCGGAUGGAUUUGAGUAGGAGCGUGGCUGUUGGGACCCGAAAGAUGGUGAACUAUGCCUGAAUAGGGUGAAGCCAGAGGAAACUCUGGUGGAGGCUCGCAGCGGUUCUGACGUGCAAAUCGAUCRUCAAAUUUGGGUAUAGGGGCGAAAGACUAAUCGAACCAUCUGGUAGCUGGUUCCUGCCGAAU
rnacentral:rRNA from 1 species